AGAGUUUGAUCCUGGCUCAGGAUGAACGCUAGCUACAGGCUUAACACAUGCAAGUCGAGGGGCAGCAUGGUCUUAGCUUGCUAAGGCUGAUGGCGACCGGCGCACGGGUGAGUAACACGUAUCCAACCUGCCGUCUACUCUUGGCCAGCCUUCUGAAAGGAAGAUUAAUCCAGGAUGGGAUCAUGAGUUCACAUGUCCGCAUGAUUAAAGGUAUUUUCCGGUAGACGAUGGGGAUGCGUUCCAUUAGAUAGUAGGCGGGGUAACGGCCCACCUAGUCAACGAUGGAUAGGGGUUCUGAGAGGAAGGUCCCCCACAUUGGAACUGAGACACGGUCCAAACUCCUACGGGAGGCAGCAGUGAGGAAUAUUGGUCAAUGGGCGAUGGCCUGAACCAGCCAAGUAGCGUGAAGGAUGACUGCCCUAUGGGUUGUAAACUUCUUUUAUAAAGGAAUAAAGUCGGGUAUGCAUACCCGUUUGCAUGUACUUUAUGAAUAAGGAUCGGCUAACUCCGUGCCAGCAGCCGCGGUAAUACGGAGGAUCCGAGCGUUAUCCGGAUUUAUUGGGUUUAAAGGGAGCGUAGAUGGAUGUUUAAGUCAGUUGUGAAAGUUUGCGGCUCAACCGUAAAAUUGCAGUUGAUACUGGAUGUCUUGAGUGCAGUUGAGGCAGGCGGAAUUCGUGGUGUAGCGGUGAAAUGCUUAGAUAUCACGAAGAACUCCGAUUGCGAAGGCAGCCUGCUAAGCUGCAACUGACAUUGAGGCUCGAAAGUGUGGGUAUCAAACAGGAUUAGAUACCCUGGUAGUCCACACGGUAAACGAUGAAUACUCGCUGUUUGCGAUAUACGGCAAGCGGCCAAGCGAAAGCGUUAAGUAUUCCACCUGGGGAGUACGCCGGCAACGGUGAAACUCAAAGGAAU
rnacentral:rRNA from 1 species